ACCAGACCCUACGGGAGGCAGCAGUGGGGGAUAUUGCACGAUGGGGGGAGCCCUGAUGCAGCGACGCCGCGUGGGUGAAGGAGUGCUUCGGCAUGUAAAGCCCUAUCGGCAGGGAAGAAGCAAGACGGUACCUGACUAAGAAGCCCCGGCUAACUACGUGCCAGCAGCCGCGGUAAUACGUAGGGGGCAAGCGUUAUCCGGAAUUACUGGGGGUAAAGGGAGCGUAGACGGUUAAGCAAGUCUGGAGUGAAAGGCGGGGGCCCAACCCCCGGACUGCUCUGGAAACUGUGUAACUAGAGUGCAGGAGAGGUAAGCGGAAUUCCUAGUGUAGCGGUGAAAUGCGUAGAUAUUAGGAGGAACACCAGUGGCGAAGGCGGCUUACUGGACUGUAACUGACGUUGAGGCUCGAAAGCGUGGGGAGCAAACAGGAUUAGAUACCCGAGUACU
rnacentral:rRNA from 1 species